UACGGGGGGGGCAAGCGUUGUUCGGAAUUACUGGGCGUAAAGGGCUCGUAGGUGGCCAACUAAGUCAGACGUGAAAUCCCUCGGCUUAACCGGGGAACUGCGUCUGAUACUGGAUGGCUUGAGAUUGGGAGAGGGAUGCGGAAUUCUCGGUGUAGCGGUGAAAUGCGUAGAUAUCGAGAGGAACACCUGCGGCGAAGGCGGGUGGCUGGGCCGACACUGACGCUGAGGCGCGAAAGCCAGGGGAGCGAACGGG
rnacentral:rRNA from 1 species